GGUGGGAUUGGGGAGCGGUCAAACCCAGCAGACUGUAAAUCUGCCGCGAAAGCUUCGAAGGUUCGAAUCCUUCUCCCACCA
rnacentral:tRNA from 1 species